UACGUAGGGGGCUAGCGUUGUCCGGAAUCAUUGGGCGUAAAGCGCGCGUAGGCGGCCCGGUAAGUCCGCUGUAAAAGUCAAAGGCUCAACCUUUGAAUGUCAGUGGAUACUGCCGGGCUAGAGUCCGGAAGAGGCGAGUGGAAUUCCCAGUGUAGAGGUGGAAUGCGCAGAUAUCAGGAGGAACACCAAAGGCGAAGGCAGCUCGCUGGGACGGUACUGACGCUGAGGUGCGAAAGCGUGGGGAGCGAACAGG
rnacentral:rRNA from 1 species